UACGAAGGGGGCUAGCGUUGCUCGGAAUCACUGGGCGUAAAGGGUGCGUAGGCGGGUCUUUAAGUCAGGGGUGAAAUCCUGGAGCUCAACUCCAGACUGCCUUUGAUACUGAGGAUCUUGAGUUCGGGAGAGGUGAGUGGAACUGCGAGUGUAGAGGUGAAAUUCGUAGAUAUUCGGCAAGAACACCAGUGGCGAAGGCGGCAUCCUGGACCAACACUGACGCUGAGGAGCGAAAGCCAGGGGAGCAAAGCGGG
rnacentral:rRNA from 1 species